rnacentral:rRNA from 1 species
CGCAUCUGUGCAUGCAGCAUAUCAAUAAGCGGAGGAAAAGAAACUAACAAGGAUUCCCUUAGUAACGGCGAGUGAAGCGGGAAGAGCUCAAAUUUGAAAUCUUCAAGGUUUUACCUUGACGAAUUGUAGUUUAAAGAAGUGUUUUCUGCUGAAGUUUUGGUAAAAGUUCUUUGGAAUAGGACAUCAUAGAGGGUGAGAAUCCCGUAUUUGACCAUUAUUUUCAGCUUUGUGAUACACUUUCAAAGAGUCGGAUUGUUUGGGAAUGCAGUCCAAAAUGGGUGGUAAAUUUCAUCUAAAGCUAAAUAUUGGCGAGAGACCGAUAGCGAACAAGUACCGUGAGGGAAAGAUGAAAAGAACUUUGAAAAGAGAGUUAAACAGUACGUGAAAUUGUCAAAAGGGAAGCGUUUGACACCAGUGUUGUCUUCUCGAAAAUCAAUUAAAAAUGAUGGGAUUUUGUAUUGUAUUGACUUUAUCAGCUUUCUGCACUUUUUUCUUAUCUUUUUUAAUGCACUUUUCGUUUAACAAGUCAACAUCAAUUUCUUUUGUUGUAAAAGAGUCAUUGGAAGGUGGCUUUUUCUUCGGAAAAAGUGUUUAUAGCCUUUGGCUUCUGCAAUCGGGGAGAUUGAGGUCUGCAGCGUAGAUCCUUCGGGGUUAGAUACAUUUGUGCUAAGCUAUAGUUCUUUAUAGACAACUUGUUGACUAUAAUCAAUCCUGUAACUUACUCGCUUAUGCUAUUUUACCUACGCUUAGGAUGUUGACAGCAGUAUAGACUGU